rnacentral:misc_RNA from 1 species
AAGACUAUAGACCUGCGGAGUACCUGCGGAAGGAUCAUUAUCAAUUUACAGCGGACUUCGGUCCUGUCUGCACCCUUGUCUUUUGCGUACUAUAUGUUUCCUCGGUGGGCUUGCCUGCCGAUAGGACACUUAUAAACUCUUUUGUAAUUGCAAUCAGCGUCAGAAAACUAUAAUAGUUACAACUUUCAACAACGGAUCUCU